GUGCCAGCCGCCGCGGUAAUACGGAGGAUGCAAGCGUUAUCCGGAAUCACUGGGUUUAAAGGGUGCGCAGGCGGAAUAGCAAGUCAGAGGUGAAAGGCUUGAGCUCAACUGAAGAAUUGCCUUUGAUACUGUUAUUCUUGAGUGUAGUUGAAGUGGGCGGAAUAUAGCAUGUAGCGGUGAAAUGCAUAGAUAUGCUAUAGAACACCAAUUGCGAAGGCAGCUCGCUAAACUAUAACUGACGCUGAGGCACGAAAGCGUGGGGAGCGAACAGGAUUAGAUACCCUAGUAGUCC
rnacentral:rRNA from 1 species